rnacentral:lncRNA from 1 species
AAAAUUUCCAAGCCUCUCAAAAUAUCCUGGAAUAUUUCCGGUAAAAAGCCUCAGCCUCCAUCUUUGUCCAGAGUUUGAGUCUGCUCUUCUGGCUUAGGGGUCUUGAGAGAAAGCUAGUGCUCACCACUCUUGUGCUUGUGCUAAUGCUUGUGUUUGUUCCUGCGCUGAUCUCUGACCUGCUAAUGUCCCCAGCUAUGACAUGGAGACCACUUGACUGUGAACUCUGAGACAGCACCCCAGGUGGCUCUACCUACCCUUUUAUACCUGCAGCUCCACCCCAUCCUCAAUUGGGCCAUACCAUUACUACAGGAAGGGGUACCUUAAAGGUAUGCUGUACACACACGUAUAUACUAACCCACACAAAUACCUGCAUUAAAGCCUACAUUAUUUACACCACAUUUAUAAACAGAUUUCACACAUCACUGGAUUCAUUGUUCUAACUUUUCUCUCACACACUUCUAUUGAGGAGUCCCCCCCCAUCUUGUAGCGCAUCCGGAGCUCCAAGGAUCCUACAAGAAGAGGUGUUAACAUGGCCACCAUUCCCCAGGACGCCCCCCAAGGACAACAACCAGAUGUCUGCUGGCCUGCCCAUAGCACAGGCCUUGGGGCGGCAGUCCUUGACAUCCUAUGUGUUACCUGUCUGACAAAGCAGUCUGCGUUCCAGAAAAGUGCAAGGACAAGGACUCCAUUCUGAGCAGAGGAGGAGUCAGACUCGAGCCAAUUCUCAGCUGGUAAGAAGCUCUAAGAGCCUCUAAGUGGAGGACCUAUCUAAGCAGUGAUAGGAGAUGUUGCUCAGUGUCAAUUCUCCUCAAUGCACUCCUUGUCUUCCCUUAUCUGUGGUAAUUAAAACAUUUAAAUUCCUUUCACAGAGAACAGGGAGUGAGAGAUAGGACUGUUGGGAAGCAUCUUGAGGAAAUGUAACAGGUUGGAGGAUAUCAGACUCAGCAGGCCAUCUACGGCCAGUGGAGUGUAGAAAUAUUCGUUGCCCAGUGCCAAGAAACACCAUGUUCCCACACUCAAAACUUAUCACAUAGCCAUAGCAAAUCAUUUUUAAAAAUUUCAUUCACAGUGAUAAAUGUAGGUUACACUUUAGCUCUAGUGCUGUUUGUUUUUGCUGUGCUGAUCAUUAUGAAUGGUACAGAAGGGAAAUGCCACUGAUAUAUAAAGCAAAGUUACAUCAUUAGGCUUCAUCUAUCACACUGUUUAACUAACUGUUAAACUUGAGUGCGUGAGUAAAUUACAAGCCAGGUCAAAGAUAAAAAAUAACUGAAAUGUAUAACAAAGUACUAAAUGUUAUUAGAAUUUUAC